UUUCUACACAAAUUAAUGCUCAAGACAGACAGAUAUGAAGAAGAGGUUAAGCACUAUCACCAGUUUGUCUUCCAUCAACCUUUUUCUGCAUAGGAUGAGCGGAAACACAUGAGAUUAAGACAAAGACAGAAUAUUACAAAAUACUUUAAAGGUCCAGUGUGAAGGAUUUAGUGGUGUCUAGCUGCGAAGCCAACCAACUAAAUACUGAAUCACAUCAAACUCCCCUUCUAAGCAUGUAGAAGAAACUAUGGUGGCCAUGAAAUUUGCAAAUGCCAGUGUUGAUGAAUCUGUUCCAUCCUCAUCCUCGUAUAUUUGAUGGAACACAGCAUGGAUUCACAUCGUGUUUUGCCUAAAUGAAACUUAAAACCUGCGCAGCAUUGUAAUAAAAACAUAACUUGCCUGUAGGUGCGAGCUAUAAUUGCAAGAAUUUAUAGAUGAAUGAAAGUAGAUGACUUGUUUUCAUUAUGAAAAACUUGUAACACAGCUUUUUAUUGUUUUUGAUAUAAAAGAGAGGGAAAAACUGAACACAAGAACAACCCCACAAUCAAACCAACAAAUAUAAGAAGCCAAACAAAGAUGAAACAAAACAAAUUUAUAAAUGAUUAAAACCAAAAAGAUAUAAAAAAGAUGCAGGUGCAGCAAUACAACCAUUUAACAAGAGAGUACCUCAGAUAAACUGUGCUUUGCUUUUAUAGACAUCUGUUCAGACAAACUGUCUGGUGGUGUAACUGUACUCAAAGUGUAAAGACCGUCGCCGGUGGUGUACUAGUAUCUCGAGAAGUUGACAUACUCUUUAUUCAUAGCUGUCUAGCAGAGGAUAAAACAACCUAUGUUAGAUUAGAUUAGAUUAUACUUUAUUUAUCCCACAACGGGGAAAUUCACUUGUUACAGCAGCAGAAAGUGUAAUAUACACUACAGAAAUAGAAUCAAAUAAAGGGGGAAAACAACAACAACAACAACAACAGGCAAUCCACAGACAAGUGUACAGAUGUUCAAAACAAGUACUAAGGUAGAAAAUCUCAAAGUAGUGGAAAGGAAAGGAAAUACAAAUACAGAUACAGAUUUUAAACAAACGGUGAGAAAAGACUACUCUUCAUAUUAACCCAAAAAUGGACCCAUAGUACUUGGACAUAGACACUUGACUUCUGCUGCUACUCUUCAGGGAGUCAGGAUCUUUUUUCUUUUUUUUUUCCAAUCAUACUUUUUAUUGUUUGCUUUAAAGCAACAACACAACCAAUGCACAAAAGAAGCUACAACGCAGUCCGCAAACAUACUGAUCUGUACAGACAAUACAACAAAGUUACAAAAAUACAAUGAAGAACAAAGUAAAAAAAAAAAAGAAAAAGAUAAAUAAAUAAGUGAAAAAUAAAAAAAACAGCAGUGUCCAGCCAAACCCCCUAAAUCCCACCCACACAACAGCACAGGCACCCGGUGUGCCCCUGGACAAAGACCAAAAAAUAAAUAAGAAUGAAAAAAAGUUAAAAUAUAUAUGAACACAAAAAAAAAUUGCAGAC